rnacentral:lncRNA from 8 species
AAAAUGGAGGGGUUUUGUGCGGUAAAUCUCUGUAACUGGGUUCCCGCCAUUCAACCCUGGUACAUACCUCUGCUAAUUCUGUCUUUUCAAUUCUCCACAGCUAUCCACUACAACACCACCUGCACAUGGGGAAUAUGACAGAAGUUCUAUGCAAUUUCAGCUUGGAACAGUAUGCUUGUUCACAGGUAAUUAGUUGCUUCUAAAGUAAGAACAAAUAUUUCAUCUUGGACCAAUAGAAAUCAUUGUGCUGAUCUGGUUUGUUAAGUAAUUAAUAAUGUGAGAAGUAUGCCUGUGCAUCGGUGAGAUUCUUUCACUAUGGCCGUGAUUCUAAUGUAUGAGAGACAAAGACAUGGAAAUACCAAGGCAGAGAAAACUUCUACAUGUAUUCAUUCAUUGACUCCACAACAUCUGUUCUUCUCUCUCGAAGCUGAAAGACUUCACUGCAGAACACCUGGUGUCUCUUCUGAAAUGUAAACUGCCUGGCAACUCCUCUCACUCGAAAGAGACCUGGAAGGUUCUCCUCACCAAACUGACCUCUGUCUUAGACCAAGCUCUGGACAUGUUCUCCAAUAUGUCCAAACCUGUGAUUGGCCCUGCAGUAUCCCAGGCACUGGAUGUGAUUGGAGAGAUCCGGGUCAACAGGCUGACUGACGAUCAGUUGAGAGACAGUGAUGUCAUCAGGAAGUGGUUCUCUGGGCGUCUGAGACUGUUCCUGCCGUCUGCAUCAGGAGGGUUUCUGCACUGCCUCAGCACCAAGAACCUCAGCUGUGACACGUAUCAACAGAUACUGAGGGAGUUCAGCAAUCAAUUUGACCAAAUGGACCAGAAGAGACAAGAGCUGGUGGUCAAAUACUUCAUCCAGCCCUUCCUGACCAAAAACUCCUCAGACUCUGGCUGUGUGUCCAACUCUAACAGCAGUGUGGACUGGCUGCAGAAGAACUUGGGGCGGUUUUCAGUCCUGCUGUCCCUCAGCGACCUGUUGAAACUCAACACAGACUUCUCUCCGUUGUCAUCCCUGGAGGUUCUCUCUUCAAAGCAGACUGCAGAGCUGUUGGUGUUGCCUCUUCCUGGUCCUCCAGAGAAAGCUGUCAUCAUCAACACAGUAUUUGACUACCUGACUGAGUCACCAAGGGAGAGGAGACUCCCUGAGUUCCUGCAACAACUUGUCAGCCUGACCAAACAGGAAAAUAUCCCUUGUGCCUCCUACAAGAUCAUUUUCACCAGACUGGACGAGGCCGUACCCACUGUUACCAUGGAGAUAGAGUCAGCCCUCACCUCCAGCAAGACGGCUUUACUACAGACCGUCCCAUCAGGUUGCAUUGUAUACAGUGGAGAGUGCAAUGUCACCCCAGUUAAUGAGACAAAAGUUUGUGCUGGCGUCGACAGCACUGCUCUACAGGGUCACCUUGACAACGGGCAGAUCAGCGGAGUCCUCUGUGAUUUCAGCGUCGAUGUUUACGCUUGUGGCUCGCUGUCUGUGUUGACAUCAGAUAACUUGGUGAGCCUGUUGAAGUGUAAGCUGUCUGGAAACACCAGCCACUCAGCACAGAUCUGGAAACUGUUCUUCUCUAAGGUCUCAGUGGUUCUGGACUCAGCCCUGGAUCUCUUCUCCAACACCACACUAGACCCCAGCUCUCCAGCAGUGUCCCAGGCCCUGGAUGCUAUAAGAGAAGUAAGGCUGGACAGCUUCAGCCUGGCUAGUCUCAGAGAUCAGAAAAUCAUCAACCUCUGGUUCAACACCAGACUCCGUCCCUUCCUACCUGCCGUCUCCACUGACUUCCUGUCCUGCCUCAGCACCAAGAACUUCAGCUGCUCCACCUACCAGACCAUCGUUCAGAUCCUGAGCAGCCACCACUCAGCCAUGGACCAGUCCAGACAGAUAUCAGUCUACACUACCUUCAUAGAGGUCUUUCUCUCCAGGAACAACACAGCAGACCCCAGCUGUAGCUCUGACACCCUGAACAGUGAAGACUGGCUGCUGAAGAACUUCAGAGGAUUCUCUGCCUUCGCCUCCUUCAAGGACAUGCAGAGACUACUGACCACCUUCUCUGUGAUGGAGGCCCUGCCCCAGCUAACAGUGAGACAGUUAGCAGAGGUGUCCUCUAGUCCAGACCAGCUCAGCUCUGCUGCAGACGUCACCAUGCUGAUGAACUACGUACCCAACAUCCUCUUCACUGACUUCUUCAAUGACUUCUCUCUAGCCAUCACCGGUCAAGAGUCUAAGUUCCCAGUGGCGGUACGUUCAGCCAUGCUCCAGCAGGUGUUUGAACGCGGGAACCUAUCAGACCGCUCUGUUAGCGACCAGGAAGUACUCACCUGGCUUCAGAGCAGGCUCCGCCCACUGCUGAUCAACCUGUCCCCGCUCCACGUCGCCCCCCUCUUCAGUGUGGUCGCACAGAGGAACUGCAACAUCGGACAGCAGCUGUAA